GACGAACGCUGGCGGCGUGCUUAACACAUGCAAGUCGAACGGAAAGGCCCUGCUUUUGUGGGGUGCUCGAGUGGCGAACGUGUGAGUAACAAGUGAGUAACCUGCCCUUGACUUUGGGAUAACUUCAGGAAACUGGGGCUAAUACCGGAUAGGAGCUCCUGCUGCAUGGUGGGGGUUGGAAAGUUUCGGCGGUUGGGGAUGGACUCGCGGCUUAUCAGCUUGUUGGUGGGGUAGUGGCUUACCAAGGCUUUGACGGGUAGCCGGCCUGGGAGGGUGACCGGCCACAUUGGGACUGAGAUACGGCCCAGACUCCUACGGGAGGCAGCAGUGGGGAAUAUUGCACAAUGGGCGGAAGCCUGAUGCAGCAACGCCGCGUGCGGGAUGACGGCCUUCGGGUUGUAAACCGCUUUCGCCUGUGACGAAGCGUGAGUGACGGUAAUGGGUAAAGAAGCACCGGCUAACUACGUG
rnacentral:rRNA from 1 species